UGGUUCCGUAGCAUAUCAGUUUAGUGCAAUCACCUUAUAAGUGAUAGAACACAGUGCAACUCUGUGCGGAACUAUC
rnacentral:tRNA from 1 species